ensembl:lncRNA
AUUUUCACUGGCAGUUCUGGCAGCACGCGCUCGGCUACAACCGGUUGCUAGGAGACGCUGCGUUUCAGUUUCCGAGGUAAAAAAGCUCAAGUUAUUUUUCAGACAGUACAAUUUUAUUUGAAGUGCAUUUUCAAGACGGGAAUACAUUAAUGAAAAGGUAAUACACUUUUAAAUGUUUUGUUAAGAUAUGUUGUGUCACAACUUGUUGAGCAACUAGCUGGCUAACUAUAUAACGUAUAACUUUUUGUCUUUAUAAAUAGCACGAACGUGUAAAGAUAAGGUAUAAUGAUUAUCUAAUACGAGAAAGAAUUGAAAAUUAGGAUAAAUUAUACAACAUUACAAAAUUCAAUUAAUAGAACUGAACUAAGACAUGUAAGCUGAUUGACGUUAUUUUUAUUAAGACGUAAAAAUUAUUUUACAAAUAUUUUGCAGAUCAAACAUUAACUCUUUGUCCAGUCUUGAGACAAAUGCUGAAGCAAAUAUUUAUAGAAAUGAGGCAAAAAGUGUGUUUUCCCCAAUGUUAAGCAUAUUUGGAUUAAAAAAAAAAAAACCUUUAAUAUGAUUUACUGUUUUUGUUUCCUAGGAUUACCAAUAUAUGAAGCACCUUUAUGAAACCAAUCAGAAGAGAAGAAGGCUUCUUUCUUACCUUGCCAGGUGAGCCCUGUCAUCACAGAUUUCCCCCGCAUCCUGACAAAACCCAGCUGUGUUGGGUCUCAAAUAGACUUUCACUUUCCUCUUCUCUGCAAACUGCCCCCUAAAUCCAUGUCUCAACAAAGACCUACAGAAUGAGCCGGGGUCAGAGCACAAGCCCAAACAUUUCCUCCUUAGAUAAAUCAGUGAACACAAUGCCUCUUCCAAAACUUAAAGCCAGGCGUGGGAUUGUCAGAAAGCCCAUCGUAGCCUCUCUCGCAGGGACCACCAAAGCAGUAUCCUUGUCCCAAAGGCCGCAACCUCCUGCUAAGCCCAGAUCAGAGAGGCCUUUAUCAGCAGGUGGAUCUUACAAACCUCGCACACUUGCUCAGCAGGUUUCAGGUGAGGAGAAGAAAACCUCCAGCACUCAUCCGUCCACUUUCUUCGGAGGACAGAACCGGCUGGAUUUGGGCAGUUGUAAUGACAACGGGGUGUCAGGCUCUGUGAAUACAGCACAGAAUGGGAAUAGACGAGCACAGAGAGGAAAGAGUGAAAAAUUUGGGGAGCCUCAUAAACAUCAAACUCUCUCCAAACACAGCAGUUCCCAGAGUCACACCAGCAGCAUCCAGAGCGUCAAAUCCACCUCUGAGCUGCUGGUGGAAGCCAGACUUAUUGCUGGACUCGAACUGCCAGAUGAGGUUGACCAGCAGAGGGCGCCAAAUGAGACCCUGGCAGACACAACAGGGAUGGAAAGUGGGCACACAAAGGAUGAUAGUGGUGCAACUUUCUCUCACCAAAGAUUUUUACAUUCUAUGGAAAGCGAAGAUGGACACAGGGGCCAACUCAAAGAGACACCUCAGCACCACAAGAGAAAUGUUCCCCAAGACCAAUGUGCCGUCCACCUGUGUCAUCUGGUGUCUACAAGAUGGCUCAGUCAGUUUUACAGAAGUAUUCUGUCAGUGGAGGAGUCAAGGAUCUCUUAUCCCAAUGCAGAAGGGAAUAGAACCAUCCACCAUUUGUGUACCACUCCUGCUAGUCAAGUCAUGCCUGUUGAGUUACAGCUUGCUUCUAGAAUCUGCCACAUUCAAAACCUGACCACUGCAACAGCACAGUUUAACCAGCAGAGGACAGCACUUGGACAUAAAUCUCAUCCUGAAAAGAAGAGACGUCAGAUGUUCAGGAGGACUGGCAGACAAUGGCAGAGUAUUACAUGGAAAGACCAAGGAUUAUGA